rnacentral:sRNA from 1 species
UGGAAUCAAUUCUCUACAGGAACUAAAACAGAACAUUGCCAAAGGGUGGCAAGACGUGACAGCAACAUCUGCGAGGAGCAAGCUUCUAGCAGCAGAAACCAAACUGCUCUGUCUUCUGUAUUGAGAGCCAUCUGCAGAGCUGUUACAAGAAGACAUCUGAAACCUUGUCCCAGGCUGGACAGAAGGCCUCAGCUGCUUUUUCGUCUGUUGGCUCAGUCAUCACCAAAAAGCUGGAAGACGUAAAAUUGCAAGCCUUUUCACAUUCCUUUAGGUAAGGAGAGUUUGAACCAUCACUGCAGUCCAGCAGUUGUAUAAAAGUGUGCUGAGAUUAGAUUACCAUGCUACGUUGGAUGAUCGUGUUUGUCCAUAUACGUUCCAUUCAGCAUUCAAUUAGCAUGCCUGCUAUGAGAAACUCCCCAACUUUUAAAUCAUUUGAAGAAAAGGUCGAAAACUUAAAG